rnacentral:lncRNA from 1 species
GGAAUGGAGGAGGGUCUGAUAUUGUGAGAUGUUAAAAAUAUGCAAUAAGCUUGUGGCCAUCAGCACUCCUUUUAGAGCUGUUCUAAGCAGCUGGAGGCAACCAAGAGGUCUGCAGGUCAAGAGGGUCCAAGGGGAUGGAUCUCAACAUAUAUUCUACUCAAAGUACUGCAAAUUUGCAAGGUUGCUGAGCCUGCUCUAUAACCACCCCACAAAGCUGCUGCUGGCGGAGCCUCCACACAGCGUGAGGAGACAAGCACACACCCCAGCGCUCAAACUAAGGACCCAGAGUGCUCAGACCCAGCCUGUGCAGCUCCAGCUUCAUCACGCACAGAGGAGCGGUCCAGAGCCAGAGCCUGCUGCACCCUCCAGAGAGCUUCAGGCAUCUAUUGCUCAGUUUGGGCCCAGAAUCCUGCCUGCAGCCUAUUCCACUAUUUCUGCAGCAGAUGCUCCAGUCCUCCUUCCAGGUCUGAAAGAGCACACAUCAAGACCAGAAGCCCAGCUCACCAGGGAACAGAGGCCAGGAGGUCGGUGACAUCAGAAGAAAUAUUCACUCAGCACUGAAGGGCUUGGGGAAUCGCAGGACUACGCUAACCAGAAUCCUUGGCAUAAUUUCGUCCGAACUACCAUACCCAGAAUCCUGCAGGAGGCCGCAGGACUACAUACCCAGAGUCUUCAGAGUAAUUUUCCCAUGGCCUAUAAUACCCAAUAUCCUCUGUGAGUAUACAGGACUACGUACCCAGAGUCCUCCAGGAUUUCCUCCGGGACUACCAUACCUAGAAUCUUGCUUAGUCCGUGGAGCAAUUUCCCCAUAGAUAUACUAAACCUACUUCUGUUGUGGUCACAGAACCAUGGUACCCACAAUCUUUAGCAUGAUUUCCUUCUGGACUACCAUAGAAAGAAUCCUCCAACGAGUCUCAGGACUACAUACUCAGAAUCAUCAAUUAUUCAAGGGACUCCCACGGGCGGCAAGACUAUGUACCCAGAAUACUCAGAGUAAGUCUUGAACUACGAUACUCAGAAUCACCACGAUUUCCUCCUGGACUACUCUACCCAGAAUUCUUUGCAGGCCUGUAGGACUAGUACCCAGAGUUUUCCAUAAUUUUACCAUAGACUACCAUAACAAAUUAUUUUGCAGGCAGGCACAGGACUACGAUACCCAGAAUCCGUGAGGUAACGCUUCCAUGGAAUAUCAUACCCAGAAUCCACCGCGCAGACAUGGGCCUGAAAAACCCAAAAUCUUCGCCAUAUUUUAUCCAACGGUGAUAUUACUCAGAAUCAUUGGCAUGCCCGCUGCUAAAACGACAAUAACUGGAAUUUACAGCAUCCAACUCUAUUGUCUAUGGUAUCCUGAAUUUUGGGCAUGUUUCCCCAAGGACUAUGGUAGCCUAAAGACUGCCACAAUCUUCCCAAAAGCUACAAUAUGCAGAAUUUUAGGCUUGGCAACGGACUGCAAUACCCAGAAUCCCUCUCGCGUUGCCUGAGGAAUGACUACCAUACCCAGAAUCCUCGGUGUUCUCUUCCAGUAACUGAAACAUCCCAAAGCCUCCCUGUGGCAGCCCGGCUCUGAUGUCUAGAAUCCCAAGAUUUGUUCCCAUUACCAAAGACUACAUUACCCAGAAUCUUUGCCAUGCCUGCCCGGAAAGACUACUAUAUCCAGGACUUCAGGACAGCAUCUUUAAAGACCCAGCUACCCCGGCCCAUCAGUGUAUUUCGCAAAGGACUAUGCUGUCCAGGAUUCUCCGUGUCCCCUCAAUCCCCUACACAGUACUGUGAUAAAUAGACUUCCUCGUGUUCCCCAAAAGCUGUAAUGGGCAGAGUCCUCUGUGUUGUACUAGAGCGGAAACCCAGAAUCCUCAGCCCAGGACUUGAAC